UGUCCAGGCCCUGCACCUGUGAGGAAACAACACAAUAAAGACACACAAUGAGCCAUGCCAGUCCGCAUAUGCAUGCACCGUGGGCAGACACACACCAGUGCUCAAUCCUGAGCCACUGCUGCAUACCAGGCUCCGUUCUCAGCACUGGGUGUGCAGCAGUGAGCCAGGCGAGAGUGACAUGGGAAUAUUGUGUGAAGCCAAGGUUUGGAGGAUGGUACUUUUUUUUAAUCCACCACUCUCCCUCCACCCUCUAGUAGUCCACAGUGUCUGUUCUCAUCUUUAUGUCCAUGUGUGCUCAAUAUUUAGCUCUCAGCCGGGAGCAGUGGCUCACGCCUGUAACCCCAACCCUUUGGGAGGCCGAGGCAGGCAGAAUCGCUUGAACCUGGGAGGCUUAGGUUUCAGUGAGCUGAUAUCG
rnacentral:lncRNA from 1 species